GAAGUACCUUGAUGAGAAAUUCGGCUACAAAGAUAGCCAUAGUUGCUUUUUUGA
rnacentral:tRNA from 1 species